UCUAGGACAAGGUCAUAGAAGCACAUGUUCGGCUGUUAUGUCUGCCGAAAGGGAAGCUGGUUCCUUCAGCCGAGGAAUCCAGAGUCAUGGACUGAAGAGCUACCGGGUUCUCAGCCUCCCAGGUCUGAAGGUGGCCAUUUUUGAACUGCCCAGUUGUUGGAACCCUGAGAAAGGGGCCAGCUACAGAACCCAACCGAGUACCAGCUGUUCUGAUUCAUCUGCCAAGACAUCAAGCAUUGCUGCACCAAAGCAGGAGGUGGCUCUACUCCAUCUGCAUUCCUAGACUGGCCUGGACAUUGCCACCCGCGUGUCCACUGCUGGUCUUGUGGUAGCAGCAGGACCAUUGCUGAGCUGGGGGCAGCUAGUGAGGAGUGGGGCCACACAUGGAGAGGGCCUCUUCUAAACAGCGAACAGAGAACUCCUGAGAUGAUCAGUGGUGAAGAGACAUUCUAAGAAAUGGUGGGCAUGGUGGUCUGCUGUGUAUCCUUGGCUUUGGAAAAUUAAACAGGUGGAAUAUCAGAAAGAAUGACUUGAUCUCAGAGCCAUAAUCCACUGAAACAAGGGAUUGGUGGCUACCCCAAUUGUCAUCAGAGAGCCUUCCUGAUGGAAAUCGAUACAGAGACCCACAGCCAAACAUUAGGCGGAGCUUUGGGAAUCCUGAAGAGAGGAAGGAAGGCUUGUAGGAGCCAGAGGGAUCAUGAACAUCACAUGAAAACCAUAGAAACAACUACUGUGACUCAGAGGAACUCAAAGAAUCUGAACCAACAACCAGGGAGACUUCGUGGAAACAAUGUAGAUCCUCUACAUAUAUGGAACAGUUGUAUAGCUUGUUCU
rnacentral:lncRNA from 1 species